GUUACAUUUCGAACCCGGAAGCUAAGCCUUUCAGCGCCGAUGGUACUGCAGGGGGGACCCUGUGGGAGAGUAGGACGCCGCCCUCG
rnacentral:rRNA from 1 species